AAUGAACGUUGGCGGCGUGGAUUAGGCAUGCAAGUCGAGCGAGAAACUCUUUUUUGAUCCCUCGGGUGAAGAAAAGAGCGGACAGCGGCGAAAGGGAGAGUAACGAGUAGAUCACGUACCCAAGGGUUCGGGAUAGCGGGGAGAAAUCGCCGGUAAUACCGAAUAAUGUCUCCGGACCAAAGAUUUAUUGCCCUUGGAGCGGUUUGCUUACUAUUAGCUUGUUGGUGGGGUAAAGGCUUACCAAGGCAAAGAUGGUUAGCGGGUGUGAGAGCAUGGCCCGUCUCACUGGGACUGAGACACUGCCCAGACACCUACGGGUGGCUGCAGUCGAGAAUCUUCCGCAAUGGACGAAAGUCUGACGGAGCGACGCCGCGUGCGGGAUGAAGGCCUUCGGGUUGUAAACCGCUGUCAGUAGGGAGGAAAUUUUGACCGAUCUACAGAGGAAGCACAGGCUAAGUUCGUGCCAGCAGCCGCGGUAA
rnacentral:rRNA from 1 species